GACGAACGCUGGCGGCGUGCCUAAUACAUGCAAGUCGAGCGAGACUCUUCGGAGUCUAGCGGCGGACGGGUGAGUAACACGUGGGCAACCUGCCUGUAAGACUGGGAUAACACCGGGAAACCGGUGCUAAUACCGGAUAAUCCUUUUCCUCUCAUGAGGAAAAGCUGAAAGUCGGUUUCGGCUGACACUUACAGAUGGGCCCGCGGCGCAUUAGCUAGUUGGUGAGGAAACGGCUCACCAAGGCGACGGUGCGUAGCCGACCUGAGAGGGUGAGCGGCCACGCUGGGACUGAGAAACGGCCCAGACUCCUACGGGAGGCAGCAGUAGGGGAUCUUCCACAAUGGACGAAAGUCUGAUGGGGCAGCGCCGCGUGAGCGAUGAGGGCCUUCGGGUCGUAAAGCUCUGUUGUUAGGGAAGAACAAGUAUCGGAGUAACUGCCGGUACCUUGACGGUACCUAACCAGAAAGCCACGGCUAACUACGUGCCAGCAGCCGCCGUAA
rnacentral:rRNA from 1 species